rnacentral:lncRNA from 1 species
CUCUAAGCAAGGGCUGUGUGUGAACUGCCUGUGGUCCUCUAAGGGAUGGCUCUAGAGCGGUGUAGGAUAAUGACAAAGGCUUUUUGCUUCAACUGCUUCAUAUGCCCAUACCUGGGAGGCUGAACUGAUCAACUUCAUGGAAGCCAGAAUUACAGAGCUGGCAGUAGACAAAAUGCAGAGGUACAUACUUAGUGUCUCUAACAGCAUCAGGACGUGUACCAAGGAAGUCCCGGACUCACGGCACUGUCAGUACAUGCCAAUUUCUCAUGCCUCUGAGUCAGGGGAUGCUCUGCAAUACCUCCCUCCACCCACCCUGAAAGGAAUGAAGCCUUCACUAUCUCCUCUGUGGAAAGUUACCUGAGUCAAAGCACAAGGAGGGCCUAGUGCCUGGCGCCCCCUGAGAAUCCCUCAAGCUAGCUCUGUGGUGUUUUCCAUCUGUGUUUUGAGAUCCCUCCGUAACACGGCCCCGGUGGUUUUGUCUCACCUCCUUUUAGAAACCUCCCAUGAUUCUUCUAGGGUGAAAAGGAAAUCUAACCAAUCUAUGCAAACACCCCAAGCUACUCUAGCUAUAUACAGGUUCAAGCUACAUUUCUAUAAGCCAAACCAACUUAAUAAUGUAAACACUUGCAGGAAACAGAGGUAGCCAAAAACAUGGGGGAAACCAUAAUGAAUAUUCAAGUAAUGGGAACAUAAUAUCACAUCAUCAUGAGGGAAGGGACCUAAGCAGUCCCUUUUUCCAGAACUCCAUGCACCUUCCAUCCUAAUGAUGCAUU